GGAGUGUGAUGCAAGGAGAUGAGUGUUUGGCUGAGGAGAAAUUUGUCCACGUACUCUCCACUGCUCCUCUCUUCUUUUCUACUGAUCUGUUCUUCCUUAACCUCCCUCCCUCCUCCUUCCCCAUCCAGCUGCUGGCUGAGCUCCCUCUGUUCCUCUCAUCUCUCAGUGCAAGGACCUGAGUUGACUGAGCCGUUUGAUUCAUGCAAGAGCUGAUUCACACCAUGCGAUCUGGGGAGUGAGAGUGGACAGGACAGGAUUCCCUCUCUCUACAUCCAUAAUUCAGCGUUCACGCCUUCCUCCUACUCCUGUUAUCCUCUUUGCCUUCUUCUUAUUCCUACUGCUGCUGCUAAUGCCGUACGCUGCAGCUACUGAUGCUGUUGUAGGUUACACUCCUGUUCCAGCACAGCCUUCCUGUGGUAAUAAUUCAUCAAGCCAGAGCUCCGGAGUCUCAACUUAAAGUACAAAGACCAUAGGAGAUGGAAGAGGACUGACCAGUGGGAGACCAAGGGCAGACGCCUCCAUUGAUCUAUGUGAGGAGGGUCUACGGUGCCAAACAACAAGGUGACAACAAUCUGUGGUGCCAUCAACUUCAUGGCCCAUGUGCCAUCAAGCAACUCUAUCAACUCCAUCCCGGGGGCCGUGAUCUGACGGUGGUGUCACCAUAUGAGAUGAACCUCAGCCUCUGCGGAAGAGGAACCUCUGCAUACAUUCUAUCGUCAUUUCCUCGCUGCCUUUGAGUGGGUUUCUCUGUUCCCCAGCUGCCUGUGGUUGAGGCCUCUUCCUGUCUUUUUGCCGCUUCUUCUUGAUCUUCCUUGUCUCAGUGUUACCAGUUCUCUCUGGAGACUGGAGGAGUCAUCAAGUCAUAUUAACUAGGCUCAUUCACAACAGCAGUAAUUCUAACGUCCGGAUGAGAUGUCAACUGUGGUGAAUGUUUAUCUUCGAUUGAAAAUGUUGUUUGGUUGUUUCCUUGUUUAUGGAAAUGCAGCUAUUUGAAUAUUGUAAUUUCAUUGGUAAUUACUUGGCUUCAUUGUGAGUUAAUUGCACUUCCUUAAUAUGCCAAUGAUAGACCAUCAAACUGGCGGAGCUAAAACUUUAAUGUUUAUAUGUUGUUUAUGAGUUAUCCUUAUCAAUUAAACAUAUUGUUUUUGUUCCAUCAGCAA